rnacentral:rRNA from 1 species
UAAUACGUAGGGGGCGAGCGUUGUCCGGAAUUACUGGGCGUAAAGGGCGCGCAGGCGGCCGUGUAAGUCCGCUGUGAAAGACCGGGGCUCAACCCCGGGGUGUCAGCGGGGACUGCACGGCUGGAGUCCCGGAGAGGGAGGCGGAAUACCUGGUGUAGCGGUGGAAUGCGUAGAGAUCAGGUGGAACACCGAUGGCGAAGGCAGCCUCCUGGACGGGUACUGACGCUGAGGCGCGAAAGCGUGGGGAGCGAACGGGAUUAGAUACCCCGGUAGUCCACGCCGUAAACGAUGUCGACUAGGUGUGGGGCCUGUCAUGGGCUCCGUGCCGCAGCUCACGCAUGAAGUCGACCGCCUGGGGAGUACGGCCGCAAGGUUG